CGGAGAAAUGGAACCGUCACACAUGGCAAAAACCUACAAACAAAAAUAACAUGGACAUUUGAUAACUCUUAUGGUUGAUAGGUUCCUGAUUUUGGUUAGAAUGGAAGUUACCAAUCCUUUCCUACUGAGCUGUUGUGCAUUAACAGUCGCAGCUUUCAAUAAAACUCACUGUUAUGUAUUCUGUCUUUCACUUAUGACUUAUCAGCCUGAAAGUAAAGCUGAUGUCAGAUACAGAGUAUCCUUCAUACAGAUCAAGUUGAUGGAGUCCAAGUGCUGCUGAUGGUGGUGGCUGAUUAUCAAACUGAGGCUGGGGUGCAAGCAUUAGGGCAGCAAGCAAAGAGGUCAAAGGUUACCUGGUUCGGUGGCAUCCUCCAACCACAACCGGGCAGAGGGAGCCCGUCAGGACCGAUGGGACAGGGAGCGUCUAGCCCGGGGCUGCCCUGCACAGGGAGGAGAGUUAGUGCGGUUAGUGGCGAGACAGACAACAUGGAGGCCACCACCUGGGUUAUGUAUAUCGAUAUUGGGCAGCAGCAACCACAGGCAGUCAAGUGGUGCAUGUCAUCAGGUCAAGGUUGAACUGAGGUGAGAGGUCAUGACCUUGCCUGUGUGGAAGUACAGGUGUGACAAGGUGUAGAUGAUCCACACCUAGUGUCUAGAGGAAUGUGUGUGUGUGUGUCUGUGUGACAACAUAUAAAAGCAAUAAAACAAUGUGAGAAGCAAA